rnacentral:rRNA from 1 species
CACGUAGGGCGCAAGCGUUGUCCGGAAUUAUUGGGCGUAAAGAGCGUGUAGGCGGCCAGGUAGGUCCGCUGUGAAAACUCGAGGCUUAACCUCGAGAUGUCGGUGGAAACCAUCUGGCUAGAGUCCGGAAGAGGAGAGUGGAAUUCCUGGUGUAGCGGUGAAAUGCGCAGAUAUCAGGAAGAACACCCGUGGCGAAGGCGGCUCUCUGGGACGGUACUGACGCUGAGACGCGAAAGCGUGGGGAGCGAACAGG